AGUCACUUUUCUGAAUAAAGAAACUUUCUCUGUUCUGCAGAAGAGAUUUGUGAGAGCAAGACUUAUGAAGCUUUACAGAGGAUUAUCAUUGAUCAAAGUUCUGUGAAGGAAAAAUGAAGGACCUUUACCUGAAGACAUAUAAGUACUGUUCCAUCAGACAACUAAUUCUUAGUCAUAAAUGGCUAGAGUGUUUCUCAAGGAUUGUCUGACUCAUGGCUCCACCUCCUUCUCCUUGAUGUUGAUCGAGAAGAGCCAUAUUAUGAAUAUCCCUUAACUAGUAAGUAUGGGGAUGCUUAUUAUAUCAUAAGUAUGUGCCCUAACCAGGAAUCGAACCUGCAUUCUUUUCUGACAUGAUGAAAUUAAGAAACAGAGAAGUUCAGUGGCACUGCUAACAGUGUAACCACAUUAUGCCUGUCCAGUUAUGAGCUACACUGCCCACCCCUGUGCAGCCGCGUGUUUUGUGUGACUAAACUCUAGUUAAUGGAAUGCAGCAGCAGUACCAUGUGCCCUCCUGGACUGUGCUUUCAAGGGAAUGGGCGUUGUGCUCCUUCCUUCUCAUGGGCCAGGAUGGGGAUAAGCAGAGUGACUUUAGAAGACGAGUGUUGAACAUGACAGAAAUCCUGUCUGGCUGAGUCUCUGAAUGACUUCAUGCAGCAGAGCCUCUACCCCUCCAGGCUGGGACACCCCUCUGAAACAUUUUGUUAGAAAUAGGCUUCUAUUGUGUUUGAGUGAUGACCUCUUAAGGGCUAUGUGUUAAAACAAGUAAGCUUACCCUAACUACUGUAAUUAGUUAUGUUCCUCAAAUUUAGGUGCCUAAUUAUUUGUUUCCUUAUAUAUUUACUUUUCUGUAAAAUUUCAAAUAUAUAAAAGUGUGGGCAAUCGUAUAAUAUAGCCUUGUACAUCACUUAAUACAUCACUUAAAUUUCUACCUUUGUGUUAAAAAGCAGUUCCUACCUUCAUGCAUUUGUGCCAUUUCUUACACAGGUGUGGCCAUUCUUAUGUCAUCCGUAUCCUCUUUCUCCUCCGAUCCUUUCUGGAUAUUUUUAAAGCAAAGCUCAGAGUCUCAAACACCAUAUCAUUUCAUUGCGUGCAUUAAAAAUGUUAUGUAAGAAACCUCCUCCACUUUGCCUGGAACUCAGUGCUUUUUAUGGAACUGUGGCUGAAAAAAGGCCAGUUCCCAUCACUUGACAACACAUGACGAAGACAGUGUGAGAGGCACAAACUCUCCAAAGAAUGUCUCAGAACCCACCUUCAACACAUUCAAGCUGGAAGUUGUGAGCUUACAAAGGGGCCUGGCUGUGCCAGGCAGGCUGAGAGCAUAGAGCGACCAGCAUCAGGUCCAGAACUGCCACCAGACGACUUGGGUUCUAAGUGUCUGAACCUCUCUCAGCUACUGACUAGCUGUAUGCCCUUCAACCAUUCACUGAAUUACUUCAGAUCUUCAUGUUUUCUCAUUUAUAAGAUAGAAAUAAUACCCAUUCUAUCACUGGAUUGAUAUGAUAAAAUCAGCUAAGGUUUUCUAAAAUUAUCAACUUUCUGUGAUAAUCAGUUUAUAACAUGAAAAUAAAUGUAAGCUAAGUUUUUAAUUCUUAUUUAAUGUUUUCCUCUACAGUAGCAUUUGUAGUCAUUUAAGCUAUAGGAAUCUAUUAAAAUCUGUGUUAUUGGUGGGAGUAAUGAUCUUUUGUAGGUAGUUUUUAGUUAUGAGUCAGCAGCACCACUGUUCCCAAAAGGGAAAACGAUGCUGCAGUCUGUAUGUUGGGUAUUGGACAGCACUGUGGCGGAGCUCCCGCACGGAGAAGCACAAAUAGAAUCUUCACCGAGUUUCUCCCUCAGUAGCUCAGCUCUGCACCCUCUCCGAUAUCCAGAUUAUGCUCUGGACAGUUCUGGGUAAUCUGGGAUACGGAGAUUUCCAGGUAGUAAUGACUUCCGUCACACAUCAAAAUGUCUCCUUCUGCAUAACUGAGCUCAAUUCCAGUGGGUCGCACUGCUGAGCAAAGUAGGUGUUGAUGGGACAAGUCCAGGCCACGUGUUUGGCUCCGGGCUCCAGGCUCUGACAUUGUGGCUCCUGCUUGACAGCCUCUGACCUCUCACUUGGCCUUCCUGAGCUUUCACCUUGAUCUCUGUUUUCUCUCUUCAUUUACAAUAUUUCAGUAACACCAUUGUGUUUAAAAAGGAAGUAUACAAUAACUCCUGUGAAAAAUGAAUAGAUAUUUUUCCCUCUCCUACUGAAUCUGAAUACAAUGUUUCUCCUUUCUGGUUUCUGGAUUUUAAUUACAUUGUAAGUCCCUGCUAAGUUAGAACCUGUCUGUUCUUUUAACAUUUAAUUUUAGAAUAGUUUUAGAUUUACAAGAAAGUUGCAAAAAGAACACCGAGAGUUCUUAUCUGCCCUUCACCCCAUUUCCCCUGCUGUGAGCAUCUCACAUUACCAGGCUACUUGUGUCAUAGCUAAGGAACCAACACUGGUACAGUGCUGGUAGCUAAACUAACUCUGGACUUCAUUUGGAUUUCAGUAGUUUUUCUACUAAUGUCCUUUUUCUGUGCCAGGAUCCCAUCCAGAAUACCACAUUACACUUGUCAUCAUGUCUUCUUGGCCCUUCUCUGAUCUGUGACAAUUUUUUAGGCUUUCCUUAUUUUUUAUAAUUUUUUACUCUUUUGAGGAGUGCUAGUUUUCAUGCCAGUUUUGAGAAGUACUAGUCACAGGUACUAGGUAUUUUGUAACAUGCAUCUCAAUUUGAUUUUUUUUCUGGUUAGACUGGGGUUAGGGGUUUUGGGGAGGAUGGCCACAGGAGCGAAGUACCAUUCUCAUCACAUUGCAUCAGGGGUAUCUGCUGGCAAUAUGACUCAUUACUGGUUGUGUUACCCUUGACUACUUAGUUUAGGUAGUGUUCUCCAGCUUUCUUCACUACAAAGUAACUUUUCCCCUUUCCCACAUUCUGCUCUUUAGAAGAAAAUGUCUAAACUCAGCCCAUAGCUAUGCGGGGGAAGAGGGAUUAAGCUCCACCUCUUGGAGCAAGAGUAUCUACAAAAAUAAUUUGAAUGUCUAACAGAAAGAAGAUUUGUUUUUGUCUCCCGUUUAUUUUUUCAAUUAUGUAUAUCAAUAUGGAUUUCUGGACAUUUAUAGGUGAUGAGGUUAACACAGGAACUUUGUAAAUGCGCGAGUGUGGCCUACAAGCAUGGAGUUUCCGAUGUGGCUGGUCUGCAGUGGGGCCGCAGCGUGUGUGCUCUUUUUACUUUCUCUAAAUUCUGCCCUCCUGCCUAAGUUGAAGAUCGGCACUU